CCUGUCUCACACACGCUCUUCCUCUCAUGCUCAGUCUAUUUUUUCCCUUUUCUUAUGUUUAUCAAGGAUUCCCAGAUACGGACCCGAAUUGGCUGAGGACUCACAGUGUUCUCCCACUCAGCGAUCCCAAAUCGUGAAGGUCAUAAUGGGAAUUGGAAGUCAUUUGCACAGUAGAGAAUCAAGGCCCUACUAUGAAACUAAGAAAAAGAAAAAGCAAUGUUUGGAAGAGCUUACGGCUACUACAGGUCAACUCCUGAUUGAAAUACGGAAAGAAGCAAUAUUUUUUAUACAAUGAAUUCUUCCUCAAGAGCUGUUUUGUACCAGGAACAAUAAGUGGAUCAAUUCUAUCUUAUUGUUACCAAAGCCCACUUGAAUAAGUUCCAGAAAGCCAAGACUGAAACAGUGAAAAUAAACAUGUGCUCUUUAGCAUAAUGCAUAUCCUGAUGUCAGGGAUACAAUUCUUGUCAGAGAGAACUACGCCAAAAUAAUGAAUAGGGUGUGAAAUGGUUUAAAAGGAUAGACCAGAGGACAGGUGUUUACUUCUUCAGGCAACUGAAAACCCAAAAAAUCAAAACAAUGUAUGUGAGCUGAGAUCCUGGAAUUAGCAGGGAUGCAGGAUUCCUUGCUACAGUCUGAUUUCUGCUUCUUAGUCUGUUGUUUCAGGUACCUGCAGAUGGUCAUGGAUCUAUCAUAAAUUUAAUGGUGGGGAUCUGCUUUUUGGAAAGGAGACAUGAAUGGAUUUUAUAAAAAAUAAUAAUACAGAGAUCCACAUUUUGGAAAGAGUCCUACAAAACAGGAGGGAUAUGUUAUUGUCUUGUUAUAAGGGAAUGAGAUGACAUUUUCUAAACCUUAUUUCCAGUGGUUAGGAUUUGGAGAAAUCAUUUUUCAAAGCUUUUCUUUGUACAUUUAACACAACACAUAUAAGUAAUAUAAAUUAAUAUUAACUAUUUCAAAUCAUCAGCCUAAGACAUUGAAAGUAAAAAACAAAAUCCAAUAUCCAUAAAAUAUCUAAUAUGUGUAUGAGCCCAUAAUUAUUCUGGUACCCAUAGAUUCGCUGUUACAGAGAGAUACGCUAUGCACAUUUACUGCUCCUAUAUGGAAUUAAUUUGGACUAACAUAUUGGAUAUUUUAUGGACUUUCAAUAGCUUUGACUGAUGAUUUACAUUUCUCUUUUUUUUUUACACACAUUUUUUUUUGUGCCAUUUAUUUUUUAUACUUAAUAUUAACUAUUUUUUCACUAAACCAUAAAUCAAGAUAACUGGUAUAGUAUGUUUGCUUUUAGUAUUUCAAAUUUAGAUUAUUAUUUUUUUAUUAUUUGCAAAUCCCAUUAUUUGUAAUGAUACUAAAUGUCACAAAAGUGUAGCCUGUGUGUAACUUUUUUUUUUUUUUAAAUAAAAUGUUAUAUGAGAUAGGGCUAUAAUAUGCCACAUAGUCAAGACUACUGGACUUUAAACCCGUUAUCUAAAAUACUUGUUUAUACUGUCUUCUGUACUUUGAGCUAAUUAAGUAGUUACGUUUUUCAAUCACAAAAGAACAUCUAAGAUUACAUAUACCAUUAUUCAUAUUACAAAGGUUUCUAAUGUUUUUCUAUCUUGUAAAAUAAUUUGUAGAAACCAGUGUUUAAAUAUGAUUUAUUGCAAAAAAGUAAGCAACUUAAUACAUAUCUUUGUAAGAUCAACUGUUUACAUUAGGUUUAUUGAAUAUAAAUAGGAAUUGCUGAUUAAAUAGAGAUAUUGGUUUGUCAUGAUGUAUUUUAAGUCAUUGUAAAUAUAUAUCAAGUUUGGCAAUAAAACAUUUACAGGAUGUAUGUAUAAAUAUUGUUUUGUUGCAUCUCACCUGAAAUAAAUCAAUACAAAGUUUAAUAAAAAAGAA